ACCAAUAACAUAAUCAAUUGACACAUAUUUUGUAUGUUUUAUGUAUUCUAUGUUGUAAUUUUAAAGUAUCUAGAGAAAAAAAAUAUUAUUGAGACAACCAUAAGGAAAAUGCAUUUACAGCACUGUGCUGUAUUUAUUCAAAAAAUCUACAUAUAAGUGGGCUCACAAUUCAAACUCAUGUUAUUCAAAGGAUCAAAUUUACUUCUAAAAGUUUGAAAUGCAUUUAAGUUUGCUAAUCUACAGUAUGUUAAUAUGGAUAGUUCACAAUUGCCUAUUUCUUGGUUUUCACUGGAAAGCCAAGAUUACAAAUAAUUUUUUAAAAGUUGGAAGAAGGGCUGAAAAUACAAAACAAACUAAAGAAAAAAUGUCAGAGCACUUAAAGUAAUAAGCAUAAAUUAACUCUACACACACUGUGCAGUGAGGCUGGAAGAAUGCAGGCAAAGCAGAAGGAACCCUUUUGGAAAAUGAGAAGAAGUGAAGCUACCAUGAAAAUUUCCUCUUAAUGUGAAUGGAUUUACUGUAACUUCUUGUUUUUCAAACUGUGGUCACAGGCCAUUGAUGAUUAUUGUUUUCCUCUGGAUGCUUUUGUAAAUAUAUUUCAUCUUCAGAUAAAUUUAUGGAAAAGACCCUUCUACUCACAUGCAAAUGGUAUCCAUCAGGAUCAGACAACUAGAUGAAACCAACAAUAACCACAUGAAUGAUGAAGAUGGUGACUGCAUGGCCCUCCAGCCUGGUGAUUCAACUAAUAGAAACAGCAAAUACAUGAAUCUUCAGCCUGAUGUCAUCAACAGUGGUAACUGAGAAAAACACUGUAACAGUUGGUCAUGCUCUCAGCCUGCUAAUAGAAUGACUGAAAGGGGGGAAUUGUUACAAUCAAGGACAGAUGGAGACCAGCCUUGAAGUUUCACUGAACAAACAGAACCGGUGUAGUCAUGCAGGAAAAGCUUAACUGAGAUUAUUUUGCAAAACUAACUUGACCUGGAUCAUUUCUUGCUUGUACAUCUGGAAAUGAUGAGUAAAACUUGAACUGUUUCCCAAGGUUGUUAUGAGGGAGCCACUCAUAACUGGCUCAAAACUGUAAUAUUGGAAUCAAUCAUUAUGAAGAAUAAACAGCCAUUGCUUUCUCACUAUUUAAGCUGUUUAAAAACAGUGUACCCCUGAGCCUCAUUCUACGUUCUUGCUUGAGUACUCCCAGUUUGCAAACUGUCUUCUUGGUGUGUGUGCAAUACAUUUUUACUAAGUACACUUUCAUGAUUCAUUGGUUAUACUUUAGUUAUUGUGAAUCUUUGACAGUGCUGUGAACACUAAGCUCAAGCUAUACAGUUGUGUGGACUCCAAGUGAUGCCUGCUCCUGACAUGGGGCUCAUAAGCUGCAGAGAGAACUCCUUGUCCAGGUUUAGAAAAUUCCAACAGUCAGAGCUCCAUUUGUAUGGAGCUAAAUAUUUCCUCCGUGUUAUUUUGACCUGUGGGUCCUAGCCCCAGGCUCUGGAAAUGCUACAACAAAUGGAAUUAUCUUUUCUAUGACAGACCUUCCAACCUUCUCACACAGUGUCCUGGGAGAAGUGGCUGGUGCUGCAAAGGCAGCUGUGAGCUGGAAUGACUCUUGGGGUCAUUCAUCUUGGUGCACUGGGACCCGGAGGUGACAGCCUGAAGGUGCCUGGACUCUGCUAGCAGCUGUCAUAUGAAGAUAUUCAACCUGACAAGGAGGAAACAGUCAUGUUUGGGGAAGGGUGGUAGAAUUGCAAAGAAAAAAAAAAGCAAGGAAUACAGUUUCUUUAUAUUUGGAAAAAUGACUUACAUGUGUGUAAAGUAUCUACUUUGAAAAUAUUACAAACUUAUAUUGAUAAAGUA